rnacentral:rRNA from 1 species
CGGACGGGUGAGUAACGCGUGGGCAACCUGCCCUGUACUGGGGGAUAACACCUGGAAACAGGUGCUAAUACCGCAUAAGCGCGCAGUGCCGCAUGGCGCGGCGCGGAAAAACCCCGGUGGUACAGGAUGGGCCCGCGUCUGAUUAGCUGGUUGGCAGGGUAACGGCCUACCAAGGCGACGAUCAGUAGCCGGCCUGAGAGGGUGGACGGCCACACUGGGACUGAGACACGGCCCAGACUCCUACGGGAGGCAGCAG